GAUGUGACCUCCUCCUGGUCACACACUAUCAGUGCCUAUCAGUCAUAACAUAUCAAAUCCUUUUGAAAUUCAUUCUAAAACACAUCUUUGACAGGUUACCAUUGCUAGUACCUUAUGAAAGCUCUCUGAAAGAAUAUUUU